rnacentral:rRNA from 1 species
GACGAACGCUGGCGGCGUGCCUAAUACAUGCAAGUAGAACGCACAGUUUAUACCGUAGCUUGCUACACCAUAGACUGUGAGUUGCGAACGGGUGAGUAACGCGUAGGUAACCUGCCUGGUAGCGGGGGAUAACUAUUGGAAACGAUAGCUAAUACCGCAUAAUAUUAAUUAUUGCAUGAUAAUUAAUUGAAAGGUGCAAUUGCACCACUACCAGAUGGACCUGCGUUGUAUUAGCUAGUAGGUGAGGUAACGGCUCACCUAGGCGACGAUACAUAGCCGACCUGAGAGGGUGAUCGGCCACACUGGGACUGAGACACGGCCCAGACUCCUACGGGAGGCAGCAGUAGGGAAACUUCGGCAAUGGACGAAAGUCUGACCGAGCAACGCCGCGUGAGUGAAGAAGGUUUUCGGAUCGUAAAGCUCUGUUGUAAGAGAAGAACGGGUGUGAGAGUGGAAAGUUCACACUGUGACGGUAUCUUACCAGAAAGGGACGGCUAACUACGUG